GGCUUCGUCCCCAACUCCGAUUGAAAGAAGACUUCAUCCGGACUCCUACGGGAGCCAGACUCCGAGCUCCUCUCAGACGGGUGGCCAGCCACCUCUCUCUACCAGACACUCCAGCCGAACUUCGGCCGACAGGCCUGGGCCCACUGGUGGGCCGCAGCAACGGCCACGAUACUACUCCACCUCCUACGACGGAUUCCGCACGGCUCCAUCACUCCCUGGCA
rnacentral:lncRNA from 1 species